CAGCAAGCUGGAGAAAUGCAUCAGAGCAGGUGCCUUUCAUUUGCCAAGACAUGACAGUCACACACUCAGAUCAUUUGGCAUAUUUCAGAAAAAAAAACAUAUGUUCAUCUGCUCAUACUGGAGCAACAAAAGAAGCAAAUGACAGGGUUAAGAUAUGCAGAUGAGAGAGAUCCCCAACUAUCAUCUCAUCCCCCCUCUCUCUACAAUGGACCAUGACUGAGAGUGAAAUAUAGUAUAGAGAGUUUGUAUAGGCAGUCAGUGCAAUAUCAGCAGUUCAGAGCAAUAUAGACGGAUUUUGUACUAGAUAACAGCAGCAUACUUGUAAAAAAUAAAUUAUGUAUAUAUAUAUAUAAUAUUUAUCCUAAAGAACUGAAUGUGUAAGGUGCUGUAUACAUCCUAGUAUAUGUAAACAUUACAGAAGUUUUGAGUAAAAGGCAUUUGUAAAAAAACAGAUGACAGCAGUAUGACAGUAGUACAAAAAGACUGUAAUGUGUAAAGUGCAACAGUAUCAGAUUUAAAGAAUUUGUACAUGUAACAAUUUUUAAAUAGGUGUUUAUAAACAGGUCCAUUUGUGCAGAAUUCUACAGAGUAUAAAGUGUCUUAUGUGCAAUGAAGUGUGGGGUGAGCUGUAAAAUAGCUUAGUGAGAGCUGUAAAGGUUUAAACAUUAAGUUUAAAGUACACCUGAAAGCAGAAUGUGAUUUUCAAAUAGGUAACUUUUCUUGGAUCCUGUUUCUGUUUGAAUGCUUUAAAUAACUCUGUUCUUUUAAUUAUCAAAAGAUGUGUAUUUUAAUAAAUAUAUGGUGAAAACUAUCUCACA